CUUGGUCAUUUAGAGGAAGUAAAAGUCGUAACAAGGUAACCGUAGGUGAACCUGCGGUUGGAUCAUUAACAAAUUUAUAUUUGAAGGAUUAAAGGGUUCCCUCUUUGGGGGAUUCUUUUCUUCUUUAAACAUUUUGUGAACUGUUUUUAACGUCUUUUGGGUAUGGUUAUUAUUUUUUAUAAUCGAAGUGAGCUUUUUUUUCUUUAACGAGAAAAAAAAUUUCAGCCUACCCAACUAUAUAUUUAGACCUUAGUAGAAUAAAUUGUCUUUAAAAAAAAAAAUUGUAUAUUUUUAAUAUAAAAAUUGAAAAAACAACUUUUGACAACGGAUCUCUAGGCUCUCGCAACGAUGAAGAACGCAGCGAAAUGCGAUAAGUAAUGUGAAUUGCAGAAUUCCGUGAAUCAUUAAAUCUUUGAACGCACAUUGCGCUCUUUGGUAUUCCGAAGAGCAUGUCUGUUUGAGAAUCAGUUUAAUUUAUCAACCUUUAACCAAUUUUUUUAAUUAAAAAGUGGUUAGAAAGUUUGGACCAUGGGCCUUUUUUCAAUGAAAUUUUCUUUAUUGAUGGCCUUAAUAUUAACUGUUUUUUCUCUGGUUUUAUUUCUUGAAACCUUUGCUAGAAGGCAUGACCAAUUUUUACUUUAAGCCUUUAAAACGCUUAAGGUAUAAAAAAAGAAUUGCUGAUAAUGGUGAUAACCUCUUGAAAUUUGCCUACAUAAGAGAAAACAUUAAGCCUUAUUUCGAAAGAAAUUAUACGAAAGAAACCUUAAAAACCUUUCUUUUAAGACUUGAUCUCAAAUCAGAUAAGACUACCCGCUGAACUUAAGCAUAUCAAUAAGCGGAGGAAAAGAAACUAACAAGGAUUCCUCUAGUAACGGCGAGUGAAGCGGGAAUAGCUCAAAUUUGAAAUCUCACUGGUCCCCAGUGCGAAUUGUAGUUUAAAGAAAUGUUUUCUGAGGCAGGCUAGGGUCAAGUCCUUUGGGAUAAGGCAUCAUAGAAGGUGAGAAUCCUGUAUGCGCUCUGGCUUUUGCCUCUUUGUGAUACACUUUCAAAGAGUCGGGUUGUUUGGGAAUGCAGCCCAAAAUGGGUGGUAAAUACCAUCUAAAGCUAAAUAUUGGCGAGAGACCGAUAGCGAACAAGUACCGUGAGGGAAAGAUGAAAAGAACUUUGAAAAGAGAGUUAAAAGUACGUGAAAUUGUCAAAAGGGAAACACUUGAAACCAGUCUUGUGAGUAGAAUCCCAACCAGUCUAACGAUUGGCUCAUGUUUCUACUUGCAGGUCAACAUCAGUUUUAACCGCUGUACAAAGCUUGAAGAAGGUAGCCACCUCGGUGGUGUUAUAGCUUCAAGUUAUGCAGUGGGUAAGAUUGAGGUUUGCAGUGCGGUCUUGGAGACCCGGUCGCUAGCUGAUGUUGAGUCUUAGACAACUUGUUGACUAAGAUUUAGAUAAGGCUAAUCGGCUGGUUUAUCACACCUGUGCUUAGGAUGUUGACAAAAUGGUUUUAAAUGACCCGUCUUGAAACACGGACC
rnacentral:rRNA from 1 species